rnacentral:rRNA from 1 species
UACAGAGGUCUCAAGCGUUGUUCGGAUUCAUUGGGCGUAAAGGGUGCGUAGGCGGCGCGGUAAGUCGGGUGUGAAAUCUCGGGGCUUAACUCCGAAACUGCAUUCGAUACUGCCGUGCUUGAGGACUGGAGAGGAGACUGGAAUUUACGGUGUAGCAGUGAAAUGCGUAGAUAUGCGGAGGAACACCGAUGGCGAAGGCAAUCCCCUGGGCCUGCACUGACGCUCGAUGCACGAAAGCGUGGGGAGCAAACAGG